rnacentral:tRNA from 1 species
GUCGGGAUAGCUCAGCUGGUAGAGCAGAGGACUGAAAAUCCUCUGCCCCGUU